rnacentral:tRNA from 1 species
GGCGGUGUAGCUCAGUUGGUUAGAGCGGCGGAUUCAUAAGCCGUAGGUCGGGGGUUCAAAUCCCUCCACCGCUA